rnacentral:snRNA from 1 species
GCGCUGACUUGUGCAGCACACGUACUACAUCCGGAACGAAGCAGACAAGGCUAGCAUGGUGCCAGCACAAGGACGACGCAUAAACUUGUGAAGUGUUCCCUAUCCGA